GCCCGUAUUGCCAGCUUUUAAUGUCGACUUCAGCAAUGCUUAUGUCAUUGAGUCGGCGUACUGCCAGUCUGUAAUCUAGACUGUAGCCUGCUUCUCAACUUACCUGAUGCCACGUGGGUUGUGAGGAUUAUUUGACCAUACUUCACCACCCUGGUCAGUGCAGUUCGAUAAAGAAACAUUUCUACGACAAGCCAUUCGAGAAAGACACUGCCCUACGAGAUCAUAAAGGAGGAGGAGAAGGAGGGAAGUUUCUGCUAACAAAUGAUAGCAUGAGAGAAAAGGACCUCAUGGUCAGAUGGAACACACAAGCCCACUUGAAUUCCCAUGCCUUCUUUAAGUUGCCGAAAUUCCAUUCAUCACUGCUUUUGGUGCGUGCUAUUUUUUUCCCCCCGUGCUGGAAUUACAAUCUCCAGAAUGUCACGGGUAGGGUGGGCGUGCGCAAUACUUCAACUGUCGCGCCAGGAGAAAGAACCAGCCAGAUUAAUCAGAAUAAUCAGAAUCAGAAUAUGUGUUUAAACUGGAGGAAUCCGAUGAGUGAAAAGCUUUUUUUUUCUCACAGAUGCCCAGUUGAGGUGGGUCAGAAUGGUCCAGCAACAAACAAUACGAAAACACGAUAGGAGUGCAAAGUAUAAGAAAGGUAGCAAAUUAAAUCACAAAAUAUACAACUAAAACUAUUUUAUUUUACAAGAUAAAGCCCACUAAACUAUUAGCUUAUUUUUUUUUCAGACGCCACCUCUGACUUGCAGGUUCAGUGUGCUUACCAUUACACCCUAGCAGAAUCCCUCUAUUUAAUACUUAAUUAUUAUGGUUUCCAAUAUUUUUGGGUUAACUUAACGUAGAAUGCUUGUGUUUUGCACUGCAGAGCCGUAAGUGUUGAUUGAAAUUUGAACCAAUGAAACUCUCCGUUUGAUUUCACAGGGAGUGAGCCGUGGUCUUGCCAAGGUCACAGGUCAAACAGCCCCAUCACGUUCGUGUUUAUUUACACUUGCCAGCUUCAUGCCGUGAAAAACGUGAACGAUUGUGGAGUUACGUGCCCAAAUUAUACUUAUCAUUGAAAAGAACUACUAAUGAGAAUGAAUAGUUGACUUAAACUGAGGCUGAAUAAUCUCCAUCUUUAAAACGUAUUAACAAUUUGACAUUAUCUUCUUUGGUUCUUUCGGUAAAGUCAUGUAGAAUGAGAAUAA